rnacentral:rRNA from 1 species
AUUGAACGCUGGCGGCAUGCUUUACACAUGCAAGUCGAACGGUAACAGGCCGCAAGGUGCUGACGAGUGGCGAACGGGUGAGUAAUGCAUCGGAACGUGCCCAGUCGUGGGGGAUAACUACUCGAAAGAGUAGCUAAUACCGCAUACGAUCUAUGGAUGAAAGCGGGGGACCGUAAGGCCUCGCGCGAUUGGAGCGGCCGAUGUCAGAUUAGGUAGUUGGCGGGGUAAAGGCUCACCAAGCCAACGAUCUGUAGCUGGUCUGAGAGGACGACCAGCCACACUGGGAAUGAAAAAGGGCCAAAACCCCAACGGGAGGCAGCGGGGGGAAAUUUUGGAAAAUGGGGGAAAGCCGGAUCCAGCAAGGCCGGGGGAAGGAAGAAGGCCUUGGGGUUGUAAACUGUUUUUGUACGGAACGAAAGGGCUCGGGUUAAUACCCGGGGCUAAGGACGGUACCGAAAAAAUAAGCACCGGCUAACUACGG